AACGAACGCUGGCGGCGUGCCUCAUACAUGCAAGUCGUACGCGAAUCCUGCCGCAAGGCAGGGUUUGAGUGGCAAACGGGUGCGUAACACGUAGGUAAUCUUCCUUUGAGUUGGGGAGUAAACCCUCGAAAGGGGGUCUAAUACCGAAUAACACUUCUGGUUGGCAUCAACCGGAAAUUAAAGAUGGCCUCUGCUUGCAAGCUAUCGCUCGGAGAUGAGCCUGCGGCCGANAGUUUAGUUGGCGGGAUAAAAGCCCACCAAGACUUCGAUCGGUAGCCGGUCUGAGAGGAUGUCCGGCCACACUGGGACUGAGAUACGGCCCAGACUCCUACGGGAGGCAGCAGUAGGGAAUAUUGCGCAAUGGCCGCAA
rnacentral:rRNA from 1 species